rnacentral:rRNA from 1 species
CCUACGGGAGGCAGCAGUGAGGAAUAUUGGUCAAUGGUCGUAAGACUGAACCAGCCAAGUCGCGUGCAGGAUGACGGUCCUAUGGGUUGUAAACUUCUUUUAUGCGGGGAUAAAAUGCGUCACGUGUGCUGUUUUGUAGGUACCUCAUGAAUAAGGACCGGCUAAUUCCGGGCCAGCAGCCGCGGUAAUACGGAAGGUCCGGGCGUUAUCCGGAUUUAUUGGGUUUAAAGGGUGCGUAGGCCGCAUGUUAAGCUUGCCGUGAAAGGCCGUGGCUCAACCAUGGCAGUGCGGUGGGAACUGGCUGGCUUGAGUGCGCGGAACGGAUGCGGAAUUCGUGGUGUAGCGGUGAAAUGCUUAGAUAUCACGAAGAACUCCGAUUGCGAAGGCAGCAUACGGCAGCGAUACUGACGCUGAAGCUCGAAGGCGCGGGUAUCGAACAGGAUUAGAUACCCUUGUAGUC